rnacentral:lncRNA from 1 species
GUCCAGCUGAGGCCCUCUUGGACAACACUUCCUCUCCUGCCCAUGGUGGGAGGUUGGGAAGGACAUUCCCCCAUUUCCAUUUGCUCUGCCAUUCAAAACCUUGUGAGGGCCCUCAGGGAAGAAUCCCUUUGCAGAUGAGGAAACUGAGGCCCCACGUGGUGAAGACAAUUUUUACCCGAAUCCACCCACAACAAGAGACCAUUUGGAUAAUGUACAUUAUGGGAAGAGAACAGAGUCUCAGUGAAGAUCAUGUUUCCCCAGCAACACAGGUGCCAGGAGUAGCUGGCUCUGGUCCCAGCCCAGACUCAGAAAUCCUGAGCCACCAGACCAUUUCUAGAUUAACAAAGGCCUGCAUUAAUUUGAUUUCAGUGACCCACUGGAAACCAGUGUCAGCAUAACAACAGUUACGAGAGCUAAACCUACAAAAUAGAAACACAAGUAAAACUUGUUCAAGUGGUUUGCAGUCAUUGAACAUAGAUCAGCUCCUAUGAAAACAAACUCCAUGGGUUUUCUUUGAUGGCAGUUCUGCUCUAAAGAUGGAUAAGGAAGGAGGUUCCAAGAUGGCCGAAUAGGAACAGCUCCAGUCUACAGCUCCCAGCAUGAGCAACGCAGAAGACAGGGGAUUUCUGCAUUUCCAAUUGAGAACACAGGAGCUAUGUGGAGAGUUGAUGGAGGGACAUUCCAGGCAGAGAGAACAGCAAACACAAAGGCCUUGAAGGGAGCGGUGGCUUACAUCUGCAAUCCCACCACUUUGGGAGGCUGAGGCAGGUGGAUUGCUUGAUCUCAGGAGUUCGAGACCAGCCUGGGCAAUGUGGUGAAACCCAGUCUCUACCAAAAAAUACAAAAAUUAGCCGGGCAUGGUGAGCAUGCCUCUGGUCCCAGCUACCCAGGAGGCUGAGGUGGGAGAAUCACUUGAGCCUAGAAGGUCAAGGCUGCAGUGAGCCGUGAUUGAGCCACUGCAUUCCAGCCUGGGUGAUAGGGCUCAACACCACAUGGAAGCUGCCAAGGCUUGGGGCUCGCACCAUCUGAAGACAUGGUCUGAACUCUACGUUGGCCCUUUCAGCCAUGGCUGGAGCAGCUGGAACGCAGGGCAUCAAGUCUCUUGGCUGCACACAGCUCAGGGAAGCUGGACCUGGCCCAUGAAACCACUUUUUCUUCCUAUGCCUCCAGACCUGUGAUGGGAGGAGCUGCCAUGAAGACCUCUGACAUGCCCUAGAAACAUUUUCCCCAUUGUCUUAGGGAUUAACAUUCUGUGCCUUGUUGCUUAAGUAAAUUUCUGCCUCAUUGUCAGGCUGCAAAUUUUCUAAACUUUUA